UUAAUGAGAGUAUUUCUCCCAGCAGCACUUGCUCUGAAGGAACACUUGGUUCAUCAGAAGAAAAAAAGCCCAUUGUUGUCACCAUCUCAAAUCUGUUGGGUAGAUACCACAGCCGGGUCUUCGCAUGAUCCCCCUGUCUGCAGUUAGCAGAGCUGUCAUGCUGUGUGGCCGUGGAAUGAUCUCCAGAUUUCAUGUGAUGCCAAUGAAGUACAGGAAAAACUGGACUCCCAGAAACCACCACAAAGUAAUCACUCUCCCAUCUCUGCUUGGUACCUUUGAUUCUUCCACAAGCACAUCUCAGGCAGCCAAAAAGAUUGUGUUGAAUUUUAUGUUCUGUGGGUUUCUUUCCAAAAUAAUAGAUAUGGAGUUUGCAAUCUCCCCCGUGAGAAGAAUAUGUUUUGGGAAGAAUGGGAGUCAUAUGGAAGUGACUUGAACCCAACUCUCAGCCUGGAGUCAGGCUCAGUCUAGAGAAGCUGAUCCCUAGACAACCUGCAGAUACAUGAGUAAGAAAUAAAGACCUGUCAUGAAGUUUUAA
ensembl:lncRNA novel transcript, antisense to CEMIP